rnacentral:rRNA from 1 species
GACGAACGCUGGCGGCGUGCCUAAUACAUGCAAGUCGAGCGGACUUUCAAGAAGCUUGCUUUUUGAAAGUUAGCGGCGGACGGGUGAGUAACACGUGGGCAACCUGCCUGCAAGACGGGGAUAACUCCGGGAAACCGGGGCUAAUACCGGAUAAUAUCUUCCUUCGCAUGAAGGAAGGUUGAAAGGCGGCGCAAGCUGCCGCUUGCAGAUGGGCCCGCGGCGCAUUAGCUAGUUGGUGCGGUAACGGCUCACCAAGGCGACGAUGCGUAGCCGACCUGAGAGGGUGAUCGGCCACCCUGGGACUGAGACCCGGCCCAGACUCCUACGGGAGGCAGCAGUAGGGAAUCUUCCGCAAUGGACGAAAGUCUGACGGAGCAACGCCGCGUGAGCGAAGAAGGUCUUCGGAUCGUAAAGCUCUGUUGUCAGGGAAGAACAAGUACCGUUCGAACAGGGCGGUACCUUGACGGUACCUGACCAGAAAGCCACGGCUAACUACGUG